GCCUUUGUGGAUCGUGGUGAUCAUCCAUGCCUUAUUAUCAGGUUCCACGAAAGUUAAAUGCAAAUGGACAGCGGGGGUUCGACUCCCUCCGGAGGCA